CGUUGAAACACCGGUUCACGUACGAUUACCGAAGUUAAGCUACGUCGCGCCUGGUCAGUACUUUGAUGGGUGACCACUUGGGAAUACCAGGUACUGUAAGC